UACGUAGGGUGCGAGCGUUGUCCGGAAUUACUGGGCGUAAAGAGCUCGUAGGUGGUUUGUCGCGUUGUCCGUGAAAACUCACAGCUUAACUGUGGGCGUGCGGGCGAUACGGGCAGACUGGAGUACUGCAGGGGAGACUGGAAUUCCUGGUGUAGCGGUGGAAUGCGCAGAUAUCAGGAGGAACACCGGUGGCGAAGGCGGCACUCUGGGCCGGAACUGACGCUGAGGAGCGAAAGCGUGGGGAGCAAACAGG
rnacentral:rRNA from 1 species